rnacentral:rRNA from 1 species
GAAGAGUUUGAUCAUGGCUCAGAUUGAACGCUGGCGGCAGGCCUAACACAUGCAAGUCGAACGGUAACAGGAAGCAGCUUGCUGCUUUGCUGACGAGUGGCGGACGGGUGAGUAAUGUCUGGGAAACUGCCUGAUGGAGGGGGAUAACUACUGGAAACGGUGGCUAAUACCGCAUAACGUCGCAAGACCAAAGAGGGGGACCUUCGGGCCUCUUGCCAUCAGAUGUGCCCAGAUGGGAUUAGCUUGUUGGUGAGGUAACGGCUCACCAAGGCGACGAUCCCUAGCUGGUCUGAGAGGAUGACCAGCCACACUGGAACUGAGACACGGUCCAGACUCCUACGGGAGGCAGCAGUGGGGAAUAUUGCACAAUGGGCGCAAGCCUGAUGCAGCCAUGCCGCGUGUAUGAAGAAGGCCUUCGGGUUGUAAAGUACUUUCAGCGGGGAGGAAGGUGUUGUGGUUAAUAACCGCAGCAAUUGACGUUACCCGCAGAAGAAGCACCGGCUAACUCCGUGCCAGCAGCCGCGGUAAUACGGAGGGUGCAAGCGUUAAUCGGAAUUACUGGGCGUAAAGCGCACGCAGGCGGUCUGUCAAGUCGGAUGUGAAAUCCCCGGGCUCAACCUGGGAA